rnacentral:lncRNA from 1 species
CCAGUACCGAUUGGCAUCCGUGGUUUUAACUGUUGACGUCAUCACUCGGGCUGUUUUACGUUCCGUAAAUGAUAAACCGCUUCGUUUCAAAGGGCUAGAGAGUGGUACACUGUGGUUACAACAUGUUGCAAUUUGUUUCGGGUGGAUUGCAGGAAGGUGCGUUGCACAAUCCAUGGACUUCUGGAUUAUUUUUGUCAUGUUAAAUUACUUUGCAUAGUUAAACGUUUCGCGUUUGCAAUACAGCUUUCUGGCUCGAGCGAUAAAAGAGAACAAAGUUUUGCAGUCCUGGAGGGUCCUUGCAUAGUAAAGCUGCACUCUUAUAAUAGAAAUAUUAGAAGUGUAUGUUUGUGUUACGUCAGUCAAUGCAUUUACUGUAUUACCACUCUGCUUUCCUUCAACAAGGGUUGAAAUCGUCUCUAAAUGUCUGACAGCUCCAAGAAAGAGGGAGAUUCGUAGUUGAAAAUAAUAAAAGCACACUAAAAGCUAGAAAUUUUGCUACAAUACGACUUAAAGUCGAGGCAAGCGGAAUGAAUUGUAGAUUAGUACAAAACGUUUAAUCACUGAAGAAAAUCUCUGAGGAUGUAUUCGCUAUUUUUACUCUAGCCGGUAUAUUGACGCCUUCAUGUGUGGUGUGGUUUAUGUGGUGUCUUCAUGUGUAGCUCCUUUAAUUCCUCUUCAUCCUCAGACUCGAGGACCUCUGGGUCUGCUGUUCUGGUUGCAUCCACGGGCUCAGAGAUUUCCAAGCCUGCUUCCUUUCAGAAAGCACAGGGAGUGAAGAAAGAAUACCUGUGUCCUUACUGCCAUGUCUGUCUGAGUUCACGCAACUGCCUCUAUAAACACAAGCUUCGGAAGCACCCUGAUAGGGCUCAUGGGGAGAAGAAGAGUGCUAUCGCAUGUCUAGAGUGCAGCAAUUACAGGUGGAGUUUCUAAGACUCAAAAAUUUGAGAGGUUUGUGGGGGGAAACAAAAAAAACUUGAAAGACAAAUAACUGCUCAAGGGCCAUCCAGUGCUUUGAGUUACAUGAUGAGCUUUUGCAAGAAACUUGAAAUAUUGUUACUGCUGAAUUUGGAAAUUUGUGUAUUGUGUGUUUUGUUUCAAUCCAAAUUUAUUUUUAUGAGUAAUUUAGAAACACGUUUCAGCUGCAGCAGUACAGACUGGCUUGCAGAAUGGUCUUAAUAGACGUGGUCAUUCCGGGAAGGCAGAGAACAGCUUCAAGACUUGGUAUUAAUUAAUGAGCAGUACACGGGAGAAAAUGUAAAAUCGUAUUUCAU